GCAUGUGGGAUCUUCACGGACCGGGAAGCAAGGUAAAGUGGUGUCCAGAGCAUGAACGCUGGAGCUGGACUACUUGGAUUCAAAUCCCUGCUCAAUUGUCUGUUGGCUGUGUGACUUGGGAAGUCCUUCUAUAAUGAAGAGUUGAAGGCUGAAGCCGACGCUUUCUGAACGUGGGACAGGCUUGCCAGCUCCAUCUUGUCAGUUUUCUCUUGGUGGAUGAUGGGACAAGGGAAGUUUCUCUCAAGAGACAAUUAAAAUAGUGUUUUAAGAAAUCCUCAGCCAGUAAAAAGUUGCCUACAGACGUAUAAGCCUCCUCUCUGUGUCAGUUUCUUAACCUCCUAAUCUCAACUGU